UUCCCAGUUCUUCCUUUGCUUCCUGUUAAUGCAUACUCUUCAGAAGUCUUGGCUCUCAGACAAGUACAUGGGGAUGUAAGUUCCAGUUGAAGUGAUAAAUCCAGCCUGGUUUUUCUGAGGGACUUCCUGAAGGUCAAGAUUUGCCCUAUGAAUUCUCCUGGGGGUGCUUUGUGCCUGUCAACCAUGGAACAUUGUGAUCUUCAACGAAUCAAAAUUAUUGAUGAUCCAAAGGACAAGAAAGAGAAGGCAGAUAAAGCAGGUGAUAUGGAUGGUUUAGAGCUUGGUAAGACAUUGAAGAUGCCAACAUCAUCCAUUGCAUCCUGGGGCAUCACUAUUCAUUAUGACUUUUGUCUUACUUUUGGACUUUGAUGACUCUAGAAGAGAGAGUACAGCUGAUGUUUUUCUGCAAUUCUAGCUUACUUAUAUCCAACUCAUUCAUAAAUCAAGAUAUCAACCCUGGAUGCCACUGGCCCUCUUCAAAAAUGAAGGACAAAUAACAGCAACAAAUAAUCUACCAUAUACAUCUUUCAUUUAAGUAGUCCAAGAAUAUGAUCAAAGAAAUGUGUGAUUGGAAAGGAGAUAAGCUAGCUAUGAAGAAAGAAUGAAGGACAAAAGAUGGAUUGUUUGUUGCUUGGGUGGUGUCAACAAAAGGUUAAAAUACCUUUAGAAAGUUUUUUUUUUUUGAGCAAUUGAAAAGAUUUUCUCUAGAGGAUAUAUUGGAAGACAAUGACCAGAAUUACAAAGGAGGUUAAGGUGUAGAUAUAUUGAGGUCUGUACUAUCUAGAGUAUACACAUUGAUGAGAUUAUGGAAUCAACAAAAUAUAAGAAGUAACAAAGACAGGGAUCAUAGCUUAUUUAUUCAUGACUCUCCCCUAUUGCCUGGCACAAUGUUCUCUAAAUAGUAGAUGUUUCUUAAAUUUAAUAAUAGGUUUAAUAGAUAUUUAAGAAAUGUUUCUUGAACUUAAUUUUCUUAUCCUCAAAUCGUCCCCAUUUUGCUCCAACACUUACGGUAUUCCUACUUGUUUGUGAAAUUACAUUUGGUCUUUUAGUAAAUAUAGUUAGGUGGUACAGUGUGUAAAGCAUAGGACUUGAAGUUAGAAUGACCUGAAUUCAAAUUCUGACAUUUUUUAGCUGUUUAUUUCUAAGGAAGUCACUUAACAUCUCUGUCUCAAUUUCUUUAUCUAUAAAAUGGGAAUAAUAGCAAAAUUCCAACAGGGUUGUUGAAAGGCUCAAAUGAGUAUGUAUGUAAAUAUUAAUAUACAUAUAUAAAGUCCUUUGCAAACAUUAAAGUGC
rnacentral:lncRNA from 1 species